UUGAAAACAUUCAAGUACGGAAUAAACUAUUACUGCGAAUACGCUCAUAUGACACAAGAACAAUCUCUGAGCUUCUUUGAGGAUGUCCAGAUGACUGCUGACUGCACUAAUUGCAUCAAUCGUGUAUCCAUACAGGUUCUUUCUAUAAAAUAGUGGUCGCUAGUUAUGAGGCGUUAAGCCUUCAUGGAUAUAAACAGACUAUUCCACCUAAGUGAUCUGGCAGAAGCUUAGUUUUCUACCACAACAUCCACCGUCCUCCCUCCCUCCCUUCCUAGCUGGUCAGAAAAGCUACUCAGAAUAAAGACUACAUUUCCCAGCCAUCUUUGCAGCUAGGUUUAUCCACCUGACUAAAUUCCACCGGCCUGCCACAAGAAUACGAAGGCCAGAGCUCCAGCAGCUGUUGGAGCCACGAUGUGACCCUGAAGGCAGGAAACUCAGCUUUGGAAGGCAGGACCUUGCUCUGUCACCCAGGCUGUAGUGCAAUGGUGUGAUCUCAGCUUACUGCAGCCUCAACCUCCUGGGCUCAAGUGAUCCUACCACAGCUUCCUGAGUAGCUGGGACUACAGUAACUCCAGGUUGAAGAACUUCUACUUAUAGGCAUCUAUUCAACGAAGACGAAUCCUGGAAUGGGGAUGGAAAUGAUGGCUCAUGUCUUAGCAAACUACCAGUACGUCUACUAGAACCGGAACUGAUCCGAGAGGACAGGGAAGUCAGUGUGGGCGGCUCUAAGGAGCCUCCCUCUCUACAGCUGCGGCUCAGAGGAUUACGGCGCUUCAUCCACAAGGCAACAUUGCACAAGUAGCUUUUGAACAAAAGUCAUGGAUACUAUUAAUGAUAUGGUAAUCCUUAAUCGAGCUACCUCCCAGUAGUGAUUAUACUGACAUGGGAAGAAUAUCUAAGUCGUGGAGGCAGCCCACAACAACACUGUGUCAUUGUUCACCCCGGGCUCGACCAGGACUAACUUUUACCAGCAUCUCUAACGUCACCUUUCCCCUGAUGCCUCCCCACAACCCCUGGCCCCAGCUCCCAUUCCCGCCCCAUCAUAGCAAAAAAGUAGCAAAGAAAACCCUGAUCCUAAAUCUUUUUCUGGAUUUUUUUUUGCAAGUUCCCACACACAUUUAGUGUCGUCUCAAAAUUCACGCUGUCAACUGUCUCUAGGAAUCAUUUCCAUCUGAGAACAGACCACACAAAG
rnacentral:lncRNA from 1 species